AAAUGGCUCAGAUUGAUAGGUCUUUCUUGAUUCCAUGGGUGGUGGUGCAUGGCCUUAGUUGGUGGAGUGAUUUGUCUGGUUAAUUCCGAUAAUGAAGGAGACUCUGGCAUGCUAACUAGUUACGCGACCCCCAAGCGGUCAGCAUCCCCCAACUUCUUAGAGGGAUAAGUGGCAUUUAGCCACCCGAGAUUGAGAAAUAACACGUCUGUGAUGCCCUUAGAUGUCUGGGGCUGCACGCACGCUACAGUGACUGGCUCAGCGUGUGCCUACCCUACGUGGCAGACGCGGGUAACCUGUUGAACACCAUUGGUGAUGGUGAUCGGGGAUUGCAAUUAUUCCCCAUGAAUGACGAAUUCCCAGUAAGUGUGGGUCAUAGGCUUGCGUGAAGUCCCUACCCUUUGUACACACUGCCAGUCGCUACUACUGAUUGGAUGGUUUAGUGAGGCCCUUGGAUCGGCCCCGCCGGGUCAGCCCACUGCCCUGGUGGAGCACUGAGAAGACAGUCGAACUUGACUAUCUAGAGGAAGUAAAAGUCAUAACAAAAUUUCCAUAGUUGAACCUGUCGAGGGAUCAUUAACGGAGAAGAGCAAAGCUGCAGAGGCGCUACUGCGUCCUUCCUUCUUGGCCGACUGUGUUCCCCAUGCGGCACGUGUGCUGGCGGGGUUGUGCCAUUUGUUUGUUGCAUGGCCCCGCCUGCCCCGAGAGCCAGAGAACUCGGGAGGGAGAGAGAGGGUAGAGAGAGACACACGUGCGGGGAUGAA
rnacentral:lncRNA from 1 species